GAGAGAGAGAGAGAGAGAGAGAGAGAGCCCGUCUUUGGAUACUAUCGAUAACACCAAGAAUCUGAUGCUAUCAAAUUUUUCACCGUUAAAUUUAAUUUUUUAAUUAUUUUUAUCCGUUAGAUUAUACUAUUCAACCAAAUCGACAAUCCACAUCAUUAAAUAUGAUUUAGAGUAUUUGAAAUUUGUAGAAAAUAAAUUUUGUAAUUUUUCAAAAUCAUUAUAAAAUCCAUCAAACGUGUAUAAAAUAAAUGGUCAAAAUCGAAUGACGUUCUAAAAUUGGGUGAUUGGAUCUCUUAAUUUAAGAUCGGAGUUAUUAAUCUUUAUCUAGAUAGUAAAUAAAAUUUUCUAUCAAAAAAUCAACCGAUUCUGAUUUCUUUACACCUUUAAACAAACAAGUAUUCCAUACCGGCCGUUAAAAAUUAUCAAUUUUGAAAUCUUCUGAUCGUAUCAUAAAUGAUUUUAAAAAAUAUAAAAUUUAAUGUCUAAAAAUUUUAAAUACUCUAGAUAAUAUUUAACAGUAUACAUCAUCGAUUUGAAAACUCUAUCAUCGAAAACAACUUAUGAGUACGAAAGCGAUCGAACUCAUAAGAAUAUAGUAGUCUCUCUCUCUCUCUCUCUCUCUCUCUCUCUAUAUAUAUAUAUAUAUAGAGUUCGAAAACUCAGCUUGGUACUAUUGAUAGUAUAGUAGCAUAAUUCUAUACAUAGAAUUAGGCUGGAAUACUAUUAAUAGCACCAAGCUAUUUGUGUUAUUAGUUUUUUAAUCCUUGGAUUAAAAAAUGUGUUGUUAGGAUGAUAUGGGCCCUCUAGUGAGUGGUUGGUUGAAUAGUAUAAUCUAAGGGAUAAAAAUAAUUAAAGGGUUAAAUCUAACGGUGGAAAACUCGAUAGCUUAGUGCUAUCGAUAGUAUCCCAGCCGGACCCUCUCUCUCUAUAUAUGUAUAUA
rnacentral:lncRNA from 1 species